AGUGAACGCUGGCGGUAGGCCUAACACAUGCAAGUCGAACGGCAGCACAGUAAGAGCUUGCUCUUACGGGUGGCGAGUGGCGGACGGGUGAGGAAUACAUCGGAAUCUACUUUUUCGUGGGGGAUAACGUAGGGAAACUUACGCUAAUACCGCAUACGACCUACGGGUGAAAGCAGGGGAUCUUCGGACCUUGCGCGAUUGAAUGAGCCGAUGUCGGAUUAGCUAGUUGGCGGGGUAAAGGCCCACCAAGGCGACGAUCCGUAGCUGGUCUGAGAGGAUGAUCAGCCACACUGGAACUGAGACACGGUCCAGACUCCUACGGGAGGCAGCAGUGGGGAAUAUGGGACAAUGGGCGCAAGCCUGAUCCAGCCAUACCGCGUGGGUGAAGAAGGCCUUCGGGUUGGAAAGCCCUUUUGUUGGGAAAGAAAAGCAGCAGGUUAAUACCCCGCUGUUCUGACGGUACCCAAAGAAUAAGCACCGGCUAACUUCGUG
rnacentral:rRNA from 1 species